GUUGUAUUUCCACCGUUCGGUGAUACUUGUCGAAGAAAUGAAUGUAUUUAGACGUAUUUUAGUUCUAGAUACAUUCAUUUUUAUUCAUUACUUCGACAAGAAUUUUUGAACCGGGGGAGUAUGUA
rnacentral:pre_miRNA from 1 species